UUUCUUUUCUUCUUCUCUCUAUACGUUGGUGUUCUAAACAAUAAUCACCAAAGCGAUAUUCUGUCCGGUCGAUUCAGGAACCAUCUAACGAAUGCCAAAGUAUUCUACUUUGUGAAUUUCGUUAAACGGAAUCCAAAGUACUAUACUUUGUGAGUUCAUUAAAUGGAUACCAAAGUACUGUCUGAAUAAGACUAUACUUUAUGAAUUUCGUUAAGGUUCGAAUCUCGUGAUCAUCGUUAGGUUUGAUAUGGUUUUACACAAAUAUGUAUUCCAUUCUGUUAAACUAUAUGUUUAACCAUCCGAAUACCCCCAACUAUACUCUUACAAUCAAAAUGGAUGCUUAAUCAUCAGAAGAUCCAAAAUAAUAAAGUAUAUGCUUAACUAUCAAGAAGGAGUAGAAUCAAGAAGCCUGUUAAAUCAAUACUGCAUGCUUGUACUGUAAUUACAGUAGAUUGGAGUAAGGAUUGGAUCCGGCAUUGAAAGGCUUCAAAGAAGUGGCUUAUUUUAUUUUAUUAAUUAAAUCAAAUUAAGAAAUAUCAUUUUUAUUAAAGCUACCUUUGUAAAACAUGAGUUUAUCCCAUCUAUUUAAUAAAUAAAAUCCGGUGUUUUUAAACUCUGAUAUUUUUCCUAACUCACGGUCCUGAUGAAAUUUCCGCUGCAAUGUUUUUCAAAAGUAAUCACCGGUACCACUGGGCUGCUCGCGGCUCCCGAUUCCGACCAGUGUAGGGUCGGGGGUCGUGACAGUAAAGGUGGUAUCAGAGCCACUGCUUUAAGCUUAUAAGUGUUGUGAUAAUAAUACUUAAGCUUAAAUAAAAGAGUUAGGAGAUUGCUACUAACUGGUAGCACACCUGAUAGCAUUUAGACUU
rnacentral:lncRNA from 1 species